UAAAGCAGUUUUGUUUUGUUUACGAUAAUCUGUGCAGAAUGGAAUAUACAAACAUGUAUAAUUAAUUAAGAUAAGUAUUGUUUUUUAAUGAAUAAAUAAAUAAGUAAAUAAAUAGUUUAAUUAUUUUAUUGCGAAUUAAUUUUUUUUUCAGGUUUAAAUUAUAGGUGCAAAAUAUGACAGUAAGAAGAAGAAGAAAAUUAAAUUGUGCAUUGAGGUUAAAAAUUCCAACCGUACGUCAAGUCAUAAUAAAUUUGACACAUACCAUAAGGGAACGAGCGACACCAGUUCGGAAAAUUAAUUAGGAUAAAUAUUGUCUUGGAAUUUUAUUUUGAGGUUCAAGUAUUUAACGAUGGGAAUUUGUAACUGACAAGAGUGCGCAAUUAAUCAAUGUCGGAAUAUUGAGAAAUAAAGAUGUCUCCAAAUUUACGUUCUCACAUUAAUUUACAUAGUGAAUGAAAAAUUAGAAAAGAAUUGGAUAAUAAUUUUUGUCUCAUUGAAUCGCGGGGGAAAAGAAAUGAGAAGUUGGAUUCUUCUUUUGUUUCUUUUAUUCGUAGAAAAAUAUGAUUAAAAGUCAAUUUUUUCAAACCGUGUGAUAAGGAUGUGGUGGAGAAAAGGAUUUCUUUUAUAUACUUUGAAGAGUAAAACGGCUUGCUGAAAGAGAAACGUGCGCAGUUAAUAUUAAUUCUUCGUAAUGGAAAACAUGCAAUAAAAUUAAAAAUUCAUUUUCAUUUUGAAUAUUUUUUUAUUUUUUUUCUUUAUCUCUCUGGUGUUUUUAGUUCAAGUUACCUUCUUUUUUUUUUUUGUCUUUCGAAUGCAUUUCGAAUUUUUCAUAUUAAGUUAAUU